rnacentral:rRNA from 1 species
UACGUAGGGGGCAAGCGUUGUCCGGAAUCAUUGGGCGUAAAGAGCGUGUAGGCGGCCCGAUAAGUCCGCUGUGAAAGUCCAGGGCUCAACCCUGGGAUGCCGGUGGAUACUGUCGGGCUCGAGUCCGGAAGAGGAGUGUGGAAUUCCUGGUGUAGUGGUGAAAUGCGCAGAUAUCAGGAGGAACACCAAUGGCGAAGGCAGCACUCUGGGACGUGACUGACGCUGAGACGCGAAAGCGUGGGGAGCAAACAGG